rnacentral:rRNA from 1 species
GAUGCACGCUGGCGGCAGGCUUAACACAUGCAAGUCGAGCGCCCCGCAAGGGGAGCGGCAGACGGGUGAGUAACGCGUGGGAACGUACCCUUAUCUUCGGAAUAGCUCCGGGAAACUGGAAUUAAUACCGAAUGUGCCCUUAGGGGGAAAGAUUUAUCGGAUAAGGAUCGGCCCGCGUUGGAUUAGCUAGUUGGGGGGUAAAGGCCUACCAAGGCGACGAUCCAUAGCUGGUCUGAGAGGAUGAUCAGCCACAUUGGGACUGAGACACGGCCCAAACUCCUACGGGAGGCAGCAGUGGGGAAUAUUGGACAAUGGGCGCAAGCCUGAUCCAGCCAUGCCGCGUGAGUGAUGAAGGCCCUAGGGUUGUAAAGCUCUUUCAGUAGGGAAGAUAAUGACGGUACCUACAGAAGAAGCCCCGGCUAACUUCGUGCCAGCCGCCGCAGUAAAAC